rnacentral:rRNA from 1 species
UACGGGGGGGGCAAGCGUUGUUCGGUAAUUACUGGGCGUAAAGGGCGUGUAGGUGGCCAACUAAGUCCGACGUGAAAUCCCCAGGCUUAACCUGGGACUGCGUCUGAUACUGGAUGGCUUGAAUCCGGGAGAGGGAUGCAGAAUUCCAGGUGUAGCGGUGAAAUGCGUAGAUAUCUGGAGGAAUACCGGUGGCGAAGGCGGCAUCCUGGACCGGCAUUGACGCUGAGGAGCGAAAGCCAGGGGAGCAAACGGG